GAUGAAGAACGUAGUGAAAUGCGAUAAGUAGUGUGAAUUGCAGAAUUCAGUGAAUCAUCGAAUCUUUGAACGCACAUUGCGCCCCUUGGUAUUCCAUGGGGCAUGCCUGUUCGAGCGUCAUUUGUACCUUCAAGCUCUGCUUGGUGUUGGGUGUUUGUCUCGCCUCUGCGUGUAGACUCGCCUCAAAACAAUUGGCAGCCGGCGUAUUGAUUUCGGAGCGCAGUACAUCUCGCGCUUUGCACUCAUAACGACGACGUCCAAAAGUACAUUUUUACACUCUUGACCUCGGAUCAGGUAGGGAUACCCGCUGAACUUAAGCAUAUCAAUAAGCGGAGGA
rnacentral:misc_RNA from 1 species